GGUUAUUAUGAAGAUUAAAAGAGUUGACACCUAUAAAGUAACUCUCAGAACCUGGCAGUAGGGUUAUUCUCCAGAGCCCAGUUGCCCAGGUUUCAAAUCUUCCCUUUGCUUCUCACUGGCUGUGUAGUCUUGGGCUCAUAGGAAGGAGAGAAGAGAGUGAGAGAGAAAGAGAAAUUGCUUGAGGCUAAGGCCAGAGAGACUCCACAGGCAGGAAAAUGGAAAGAGCCAGGAUUCUCAAUUCUCCAAUUUUAACUUCAAAGUAGGAACUAUAAAGCCAAGGGAGCAGAGCUGAAAGCAGUUACUUUGGAGAGAAGUUUAGCCAAAAUUACACUGAUCCAGUAAAGGAUGGAGCUGAGAUUCGAACCUGAAUUUGACUCAAAGUCUGGGCUGACUCGCAGCAGGGGCACAACUUUCUCAAUCCUGCAAAGCAGCAUGGUGCCUGGGAAACAGCAUCCCAUAACAGACCUGAGUUCAAGCCCCAACUCAGCUCUCCGCCAGCUCUGAUUUUCGGGAAAGUCAUUUAACCUCCCUAAACCUCAAGUUCCUCAUCUAGAACAUGAGUCUGUACUGCCCAGUGGGAAGAGCACUACCUUUGAUGUCAGACAGAGCUGGGUUCGGAUCCUGAGUGACAACUUGGCUUUUCUGAAUUGCCAAUUUCUCUUCUGUCAAAAUAAUUAAUUGGGAAGCAAUGACACUAAGGCA